AGGCCAUAGACGAUCCGCAAAAGACCCUUGGGGGGAGGAAUAUCAUUGUGAAGCUGGCUGAUUCCCACAAGGGCAGAACAGUACAAGCACAGCUACUCCCAGCAAUGGUUCCAUUGGCCUUACCUCUAGCGGCUGGAUAUCCCCAGCCUGGAAAAGCACAUGCAGGCGCAAACCCUGUUGGCUACGGCUAUCCUCAAACUGUAGCAGCAUACCCUGAUUCUUCUUACCCAAGUCCUCCCACAGCUCCAUACCAGGCACAAUCACAAAUUCCCUAUCCAUAUUACAUUGGCAAACAAUGACUGAUGACAGUUUUCAGGAUGUGGCCUCUAAUGUGUGCUGGGAGUUGUAGAUGGCAUAGAAGCUAUGUUUCUGUGAGGGAGAUGUCUUACUAGAAAUUUUGCUUCUU